rnacentral:rRNA from 1 species
UACGUAGGUGGCAAGCGUUAUCCGGAAUUAUUGGGCGUAAAGCGCGCGCAGGUGGUUUCUUAAGUCUGAUGUGAAAGCCCACGGCUCAACCGUGGAGGGUCAUUGGAAACUGGGAGACUUGAGUGCAGAAGAGGAAAGUGGAAUUCCAUGUGUAGCGGUGAAACGCGUAGAGAUAUGGAGGAACACCAGUGGCGAAGGCGACUUUCUGGUCUGUAACUGACACUGAGGCGCGAAAGCGUGGGGAGCAAACAGG